AGCUGACUCCUCGAAAAGGCUUCGGGGCUCUAGCCUCUAAUGGCUUGCAUGGAUGCUACAUCCUAGGGGCCCUGCUGCUGACGCCAUGGACCGCGACAAUGAUGCUGAGGGACAUCAAGAUGCGUAAGCUUUUCAGCUGGGGGCUUUUCAUCGAAGGAGCCUGCUGCUUCGCUUAUGAGAUCCUGAAGCCUUUCAAUCGUUCCUUGUUGACGGGAAUUAUUCGAGCCAUCCAGGGGACCGGAGCAUCCUUGGUCUUUCCCGGUUACUUUUUUGUUGUAUGCGUCCAGUUUCCACGAGAGAUUCCCACG